GACAGCUUAGGAUGGCCAUGUUCAUGUUAACGUUGCUCCUCUCAGCUGGUCUUGAAUGCUUUGCUCUGACUGCAAACAAUGAAAUGAGUGAUUUGCUCGUUUCUCCUGACAUCGUGGAAACUGGAGAUGUUUGCAAGGACUGCACCCAA